AACCAGGAAAAGAGAAGCUUUUGGUUCUUCAGAUGCUUCUUCAUCUAGAACCCAGCGGUUCCUGUGGAUCUUCCCUCAUUUGACAUCAGAACAAUCUGUGUCAGCAUAGCAAGUUAAACAGCUAAUUAAGGUACAACGAGCAAAAUUUCAUAACAGGAAGAAUCCAAGCCAACCAGGUGCUCCAAGAGGUCAAAACUGAAAGCUGUUCCAUACCUUGUAAAAAAAGAAGCAGGGAAGAUGAACCCUCUAGACCAGACUGUUUCUGGCCCUGCAUAAGUAAAUGGGAGAUAGGAGAGAAUGUGCUAAGAGUAACUUUCCCCUUACUCAAUUACAAGGACCAGGCAGAACUCCAGCCAGGUGCUAUCUGGGUGAAAAAUAUCAGGAAAAUUUAGUUCUGCUUCUGUUGCUAUACUUCCAAAGUGGAUAGGAAGUGACAGUGAGGGUUAGUACAUAGCUUCAUCCUCCUGGAGCAGGGGUGGGCCAGGGGCUAAUGGAGUAUGAAUCCCUUGUGCACAGGAUGAUGUAGCUAAUGCUUGGCAUAGAGUCUGAAAGCAUCCUGGAGGCAUUCUAUUUGAGCCAGUAAGAUUCUCUCCUUAAAUUUGUUUUGCUGCAUGUCUCUGCUACAGCUGCCCUUGCUCACUUAUCACCACAGGCUGUGCCUUUAAAGCCACAAAAAGCCUUUUAGGAACCAUUUGUUUUCAUGCACACAUUUCCAAGUCACAAACUGAAGCAAGUAAAAAGGAACAUAUAGGGCUAAAUCCUAAGUGGCAUUUAUGUACUACUGUAAUGACAAUGCAUAGCACUAAUGCACAAUGUGCAUUCUGUUUCUACUCAUGGCACAAUCAGCUCAUCCUAUUAGUACAAUGGCUAGGGCAUUUGCCCAGGCAGUAAGAGAUCCAGAUGCUAAGCCUCCUCAUCCCACACCUAGAGGUGCACUUGCUUCCCAGGAAAGUGCUUUACCUACAGGUUCCAGGCCAGGCAUUGCCCAGGGCCCUCUGCAUCUCUUUACAUCUUGCAUUUCCAAGUGUCUUUGUAUAAAAUGGACAAACAGCAGUGAGAGAGUGAUUUUUACUCUACUGGGGCCAGGGGUGCAGACAAGACUGCAGGGCCCCUUCCCUUCUAGGGCA